CCUACGGGUGGCUGCAGUGAGGAAUAUUGGUCAAUGGGCGCGAGCCUGAACCAGCCAAGUAGCGUGAAGGAUGACUGCCCUACGGGUUGUAAACUUCUUUUAUAAAGGAAUAAAGUGAGGCACGUGUGCCUUUUUGUAUGUACUUUAUGAAUAAGGAUCGGCUAACUCCGUGCCAGCAGCCGCGGUAAUACGGAGGAUCCGAGCGUUAUCCGGAUUUAUUGGGUUUAAAGGGAGCGUAGAUGGGUUGUUAAGUCAGUUGUGAAAGUUUGCGGCUCAACCGUAAAAUUGCAAUUGAUACUGGCAGUCUUGAGUACAGUUGAGGUAGGCGGAAUUCGUGGUGUAGCGGUGAAAUGCGUAGAUAUUAGGAGGAACAUCAGUGGCGAAGGCGGCCACCUGGACCGGUAUUGACGCUGAGGCGCGAAAGCGUGGGGAGCAAACAGGAUUAGAUACCCGGGUAGUC
rnacentral:rRNA from 1 species